CAUAGAAACACACUUUCAGGGUCAUGUCCCGUCGUGAUGCAACACACCAGCAAUCUUCAGGACGAUCUGAAAGGGAAAAAGUGACGAAUCAUAUACGAUGUGCUCUGCGUGCGUGGGCGGAGUGGGAGGCGGGGCGGAUGGGGUGUAAGCCUGCAUAAAAACCCUGGGGACCGAGGCGGGCACCACAACCCCGUCCAGACACUGAGAGUUUAUUUCCCUUCUGAAUACUCAGGACUUCGAGAUGAUGAGCUGCAGACUCCUGGUGUGUGCUGCUGGUGUUCGCGGCGCAGGUGAGCCUCGCCCUCGCGGCCUCCCGGCGGUUGGGCGACGGUGGCUGGGGUCGUCCCGUGUUCGCCAGGCCGUACUCCGGAAGGUACGACCACAGCGACGAAUCCGCCAGCUUUGAAUUUGACGACCGAUACGACAGCCGCGAAUUCAACAGAGGCUACAGAUACUAGUGAUGUCUCCAGUUAGAGCGACAGGUUGUAAGGGCCUCUUCGGGAGCACGAAGACGCUGAGAGUAUAUCACUUCCAUGCUCUUGUAAAUAUGACUCGAAUAAAUGACAGAUUCACAAAAAUGUGACACUCAACGCGAAGCAUUGUGUAAAAUUUAUGGGAAAUAUAUAUAUCCAUGCAUC